CGGUCAGAGUAGGUCCAAUCAUACGGCUUCAUCCCACCCCGAAAGCAGAUGAGCGCUGGGGAAUGUUUUCAGCCACCUGGAGGAGGAAGUUCAGCGCGGAAGAAAUGUUACCAGACUUCACCGAUCUGGUAUCUGGACUUUUUUGAUGAUCUCAUAGAGAUUGUGUGUGCAGAUGGGCGGUUAAAGUUCUGGGAGGGAAAGAUUUGUAACUUUAAGGAUAUAUAUGAAGCCGAAAACACCCACAACAAUGGGGUAACUAACAUAAACCUCGCCGGUGACGGAGUUGAGUGAACGAAUCGGUUUUCUGAGACUGGAAACGUACACGUAUGGUUGUCAGAUCUAUUGGGGAUUUACGUCUGUAUAUGGGCGAACUCACGUACGCAGCGGUUCGGCAGGAAGCAUUUCAGCAAUCCGCCGGAUCAAAUCCGUCCACAGCUUUCUCAGCUC